rnacentral:lncRNA from 1 species
CGUUGCCAGGCAAUAUUAUAGGUGGCGCCACUGUCAACAUGUGGAUGUGAAAACGAAAGUAGAUUAUUUAUCGUGGAAUAAUUACUAUUGUUUACCCUUCUACGUGGAAUUUAUAUGGUAAUGGUAUGAAUUGAGAUGAUUUAUUUAGUUACCUUCAACUGGUCAGUGGUCAACAAGAGAGUAUUACUGUGUGUCUUGAAACAUUGAAUGCCCCAAAAAAACCAGUAUGAUAAGAAGGUAAUUUAGAACUCUUCCUUGCCUUUCACAAAACACAAAACCUGUAACUGUGGAAUUGAAUUGAAUUACCUAAGGAAGAUCUGAUAAAUAAAACUUCAAAAUACUAAUUAUGCUCUGAUGAACACACAGAUUGUACCUUGCAUUUUUGUUUUUUUUGUAAAGAUGAGAAGAUAGUACAUGUAUAUAUUUGUUUCUGAACAAGAUUCAGAAUCAAUUUUCUAUAAACUAUGACAAAAGCAGACAGAUUUCAAUAUAUGUCCUAACAAAAUUCAAUAUUUCAGUAACUCCUUUUCAAAAGGAUAUAUUAAAAAUUUAUCAAGUUGCUUUAUAUUACAUUACAGGCCAGAAUAUACAGCUUCCCAAAAUGUUGAAAGAAUAAGCUGUUUCUUCUAAGGACUUGUAUACUAUCUAGGUUGAAAUUAGCCAUGGACAAUGAAUUUGGAGGUGCAUGCUGGAGCAUCAGAAAUUACAGACUUGGAAUAGAUAUUUGCAUAAUAUACAAGUAACAUUUACUGAAAAAUGACUAAUGUUUAUGUUAAUAAAGUGCAAUAUCCAUGCUUGUAACAUUUACAUGGGGGUAAUAGUUACAGUGUUGAAAGAGACUGCCAGUGUUACAUUUCAAUCUAAGUUACAGUGUGGAUGCUAAUUCUAAAUUCUUGAUAGUCAAGUGUUUUUAGUAACUUAUGGAUACUAAUUAUUUAUCAAACUGUUUAAUUUAUCACAUUCCUACAUCAUUAUUUUACAUAAAAUGUUUGUGGUUAUAUAAUAUAUGUUUAUAUGGUAAUAAAUUUUGUUUCUGUGUAAAUAUCUUUGUUUUUGAAAAAUGAAAAUGAAACAUUCAGUGACCAUCUUCUGUCUACAAGUUAUUAUAAAUACAACAAAACUGAUGAAAAGUUAUCCAAUUACUUUUCACAGGUUAAUAUUGAAUAGCAGAAUACACAUAACAUUGUGUAGUUUUCCUAACUUGUAUCUGAGGCCAUUAUGAAUAAAUUAAUUGCUAGAUUAAAUUUUCUUCACAAGGGUAAGAAUUUUUUUUAUUUCAGAUAUAUUUUAUUUUUGUUUAAUGAAGAGUUAAAUAGAAAUAAUGACAUGUAAUAGUUAUUUUUGUC